UUGCUUCCGCAGCACAUAUACUAAAAUUGGAACAAUGCAGAGAAGAUUAGCAUGGCCUCUGUGCCAGGAUGACACACAAAUUCGUGAAGGCAAUUUAAUUGGG